rnacentral:lncRNA from 1 species
UCAUAAAUUAACUCAACCCACUUUCCACACAACCUUACAACAAACAAACUCAAAGGCCGCUCUCUCUUGCCUAUGAACAAACAAAGAUCCAACAACAUGAACCCAGAAAAAAAGAUCAAACGCGGCGGAGGACAAGAACUCUCAUGGCGGUGCUUAUGAGUCUCACGGUAACGCCACAGUGAGACACCUAGAAUCCAUCCCCGCUUCUUACCCUACCUAAACCCAAAUCCAUCAUCUAUUUCAGCAGAAUCACAACCAAAAAUCACAAAUCUCAAAUCAGAAACAAAAAACCUUGAAACUUCAAAGUAAAAUUAAAUCUUAAAUAUCAACAAUUUCAAACAAUUAGUGGAGGGUUUUUUCUCAGUUGAACAACAAACACGAAGGUUUGAAAGUCUUAGACAAAAGGAAAGAAAAUUUACUUGACCGGAACUAGUCUGACGAUGACGUCUUCUCCGACGAGGUUCAGAUAAGUCUUCUAUCUACUUUCUUGGCCUUCUUCUUGCUUAUGCAUAUGUGUGAUGAUUGUAAUGAUGUUAUUAUGAUGAGCGGCCUUAGCUCGGGCCUAAGCUUAGAGCUUUGAUUUGAAGCUCCAAUUGGUCUUUGUUAGAGAGCUCUUGGUGAGUUUUUUUGAGGGAUUUUUGCACAACAUUUGGUGUAAUUAGGGUCUUCUUAAAAUGAGUGAGAGAGGUAUUGUUAUAUAGAAGACUUGUGAGUGUGUGUCAUUUGUGUGAAUUGAAUUGUGUGAAGGAGAAAACCGUUACACACAAUUUCCAAAUCCCUGAUUUCACGGGAUUUCAGAGUGUGAUGUGAAUUUGUUGUGUGAAUCAAACAUGUAUUGAGAGUUAUUUCAUGUGACUGUUUUGAUUUGUGUGGUGAGGUGCGUGUGGAAAAUUGAGCUAUAUUGAUGUAAUAAUUUCACAUAUAUAUAUAUAUAUAUA